GUUCAUGUCCGCAUCGUCAUACGCGCCAGCACCCCUGAAAGACUGCAGGAACAGAAACCCCUGGAAAGAUGAGUUCCCUAUUAAAGAGAGGCUUGAUGCUGUUUACUCCACACUCUUAGGCUGAUUUUGGAUUAUUUGUCUGUGAAGACACAGUAGUUCAGUUUCUGAAUCCCAUCAAGAAUGAAGACCUGCAGGCCACCAUAUUGAGCUGCAGGGUCUGAUGUCAUAAUAUGGCGCUUUUCCAAUGUAGGGUACAACUUGGCUCGGCACAAUGCAGCUCAUACCGCUUUCAUUGCUUUUCCAGUACAGUUUAGUAUCGCUUCAGAGUGGGUGAGAUUAUAGGCAGGGGUG